AUGGUCUUCGCCCUCGUGAGGAGACCAAGCAUCAGUCACAGCAACACAACAAUGGAUCUAUACAGAGAAUCACAACAGAAUGCAUUUCCACUGCUCCAGAGUCCAGCAUUGGCGUGAUUUACACCAAACCAUCCGAUGCUUGCCAUUGUGCAAUUUGAUCUUGGGCUUGUGUGAAGCCGCUCGGCCAUGGAAACCCAUUCCAUGAAGCUCCUAUUUGCUGAUGUUGCUUCCAGAGGCAAUUUGGAUCUCUUUAGUGAGAUAUUCAACAGAAGAUAGGCACUGCGCUUCGCUUGGUGGCUAAGCUGUUGUCGAUGCUUCCAUUUCACAAUAACAGCACUUACAGUUGUCUAGGGCAGAUCUAGCCAGACAGAUAAUUCACACAUUAUAUAGUGUGUGUGUGUGUGUGAGUAUAUGUAUCGUUGCUGUCGAAAGAAAUUUUAAAAAUGUUCCACAAAAAAUAUACUUUGACAAAUGAAACCUCAUAAAUCUAAUCAUUGUA